UCUGCUCUCUUCUGUGUUCGGAGGUCCUUUUAUUGUGGGCUGCUGCUUUUCCUGGUGACUCUACCUGUGGGUUUCUUGGAGGCCUGGGCUGAAGUGUAUCUGUCUAGAGAACGUCUGCUUCUGCCAGCUGCCCGGGAGUGCUACCAACCCUGACCGCUUUAAAUUAAAGAUCCAAAUGAGUCUUUUCAGAGCACACAGUGCCAAGAUCAAGAUAAGCAAGUUCUGUGCCCUUUUUUUCAGCUUCUUGGUGGAAAAGCCCCUGAGGAGACGGCGUCACUGUUUGCUUUGGAUCCCACUGACUUCACAUCCAGCCUUCUCAACAUCCUUCACACCGCCCCCCCCCCCAAAACUUUCAGAAAAGAAAGCACCUGUGAAUAAACCUCAUUGCAAUUAAGAAAAGAUCAGCGAAGGUAAUUUAUACUUCUUUAAUUUAUUUAGGUAAUAAAAACAGGUCCGACAGGUAUGAUCACCUUUUUAAAAAAAUUUGCUGCCUACAAUUAGACUCAGCUCUAUACUUCCUACUAACUGUGUUGUAAGUUCGUCUGUUAACACUUACCCACGAGAGUCAGCUGUGUCAUUUAAUCACCACUGGACAUCUGGCCACGACUAUGUCUUUAUGUUCCUGAUCAACAUAAA